GAUGAAGAACGUAGCGAAAUGCGAUAAGUAAUGUGAAUUGCAGAAUUCAGUGAAUCAUCGAAUCUUUGAACGCACAUUGCGCCCGCCAGUAUUCUGGCGGCCAUGCCUGUUCGAGCGUCAUUUCAACCAUCAAGCCCCCGGCUUGUGUUGGGGACCUGCGGCUGCCGCAGGCCCUGAAAACCAGUGGCGGGCUCGCUAGUCACUCCGAGCGUAGUAAUACAUCUCGCUCAGGGCGUGCUGCGGGUUCCGGCCGUUAAAAAGCCUUAUUUACCCAAGGUUGACCUCGGAUCAGGUAGGAAGACCCGCUGAACUUAAGCAUAUCAAUAAGCGGAGGA
rnacentral:misc_RNA from 1 species